GAUCAGAUGAGUUGAUUGCUGGGGCGAUGCCUAAUAAAGAAGAAGGCUCCUGCGGGCAGAAAGGAGGAGGCGAUGGAAUGUGGGUUGACUUGCACCCACUCCGGCGCCAACAUAGGCUCCCGCCUGCUGGAACCACUCACGGCCUGACCACACCAAGCAGCCUGGAGGAGCCUGCAUGGCCUCCCUGGAUUUUCAGAAGAGGAGGCGAGGAAACACCUGGAGCAGCCCAGUGGGUCCUGCCAAAGACAACGAUGGGAGAGUGAUGAGGAUAAACAGCUGUCUGUCUCUGCUCUCAGCCCGACUCGGCAAACCAGGUCAUGAAGGGGAGAAGCUCAUGUCUGUCUUGCAGCCUGAUUUCCCACGGAAAGGCCCCAUGUUUACAGUUCUGGGGUUUCCCAGCAAAGAGUAACACUCCAGUUGGAAGCUCAUGUGGCCAAAGAAUGUCUCCGGAUCAGAGAAAGGCAACACACCACCCAAGAACACAGCUCUGUGGGGGGUCCCAGGAACAGGGUUGAAAAAGCAAAGGGAAAAAAUAUAUAGCAUUAAUUUAGCAUCUACUGUGUGCUAGGUAGUAUGCUAGAGAUUUCAUCUCAGCUCAUUUAUCCUUAAAACAAUCAUACUGGGUGGGCAAUUCUCAAUCCUAUCUGUACAGAAAAUUUGUAAACAUCAUCAGUGGUUCUGGCUUCAUUUUUCUGGGUGGGCCCUGGGCAUAGUAUUUUUAAAAGCAUCCCAGGAGAUUCUAAUGGGCAGCCAGGGGUGAGAAAUGUGGCCUUAAGCAGUGUUUCUCAAACUUCUGUGUGCAUAGCAACAAAUCUCUUGGAUCUUAUUAAAAUACAGAUUCCAAUUCAACAGGCUGGGCCAAGGCUGUAUUUCUGCAUGUCUAGCUAGCUCCCAGGGGAUGCCCAAACUGCUGGUCCCUGGACCACACUUUGAGGAGCAAAGGUGUAGCCUAUAAACUCCAAGGCAGUAAGACUUAUUGCUGCAUCCCAAGUACCUCCAACAACGCUAGGGCUGAGUAGCUGCAGAAUAAAUAUUUGUCAAAGGCAUAAAGAAAUGAACAAGGCUCAGAGGCAGGUAUUGUGUGGCUGUCAUGUGAGCUGGGGGACUGUGCACAAGUUACUUAAAUAUCUCAUUCACUCCAAUUUUCAUUUGAAAGAUGGGAGCAGUCAUAUUUUGAAUUCCAGUGGGUUAUUUGAAGGAUUAAAUGAGAUGAUGUGCAGACUGGUUAUUAGAUGAUGUUAAAAAUUAUUGCUUACUUUUUAAGGUAUGAUAAUAGAUGUGUGGUUUCAGUUUAAAAAUAUUUUAACUAGUAGCAACACAUACUGACGUAUUUACAGGUGAAGUGAUACAAUGUUGGGUGUUUGCUUUAGAUAUUCCAGCAGAGAAUGAUGAAGUGAAGAAGAAAAGGAGGAAAAAAGAGGGGGAAGGAAGAGAAAAAGAAGAAAAGCAGGAGGAAUUGAUUUAAAAACAACAACAACAAAAAAUGCCAAUUGUUAUUGAAGCUGGGUAGUGAGUAUAAGGGAGGCCCUCGCUAUUCCAUUUUUGCAUACAUUUUCCAUGAUAAAAAGUUAACAAUAAAUUAAAAAUGUGAUAAAGCAG
rnacentral:lncRNA from 10 species